UUCCAGACUCCUACGGGAGGCAGCAGUGGGGAAUAUUGCACAAUGGGGGAAACCCUGAUGCAGCGACGCCGCGUGAGCGAUGAAGUAUUUCGGUAUGUAAAGCUCUAUCAGCAGGGAAGAAGAUGACGGUACCUGACUAAGAAGCCCCGGCUAACUACGUGCCAGCAGCCGCGGUAAUACGUAGGGGGCAAGCGUUAUCCGGAUUUACUGGGUGUAAAGGGAGCGUAGACGGCGGCGCAAGCCAGAUGUGAAAGCCCGGGGCUCAACUCCGGGACUGCAUUUGGAACUGUGUGGCUGGAGUGUCGGAGAGGCAGGCGGAAUUCCUAGUGUAGCGGUGAAAUGCGUAGAUAUUAGGAGGAACACCAGUGGCGAAGGCGGCCUGCUGGACGAUGACUGACGUUGAGGCUCGAAAGCGUGGGGAGCAAACAGGAUUAGAUACCCCCGUAA
rnacentral:rRNA from 1 species